rnacentral:rRNA from 1 species
AAUGGUGGGAACACUGAACCAGCCAUCCCGCGUGCAGGACGAAGGCCCUCUGGGUUGUAAACUGCUUUUAACAGGAAAGAAACGAGUGGACUUGUCCGCUCCUGACGGUACCUGUGGAAUAAGCACCGGCUAACUCCGUGCCAGCAGCCGCGGUAAUACGGAGGGUGCAAGCGUUAUCCGGAAUCACUGGGUUUAAAGGGUGCGUAGGCGGCCUGGUAAGUCAGAGGUGAAAGCUUCCCGCUCAACGGGAGAACUGCCUUUGAUACUGCCGGGCUCGAAUUGGGUUGAGGCUGGCGGAAUGUGGCAUGUAGCGGUGAAAUGCUUAGAUAUGCCAUAGAACACCGAUUGCGAAGGCAGCCAGCCAAGCCUUGAUUGACGCUGAGGCACGAAAGCGUGGGGAGCGAA